rnacentral:pre_miRNA from 1 species
GUAGUAUUCCCUCCAUCCCAAAGUUCUUGUCUUACAUUUGUUUAGAUACGGAUGUAUCUAACACUAAAAUGUAACUAGAUACAUCCAUAUUUAGACAAAUUGAAGACAAGAAUUUUGGGACAGAGGGAGUACAAA